CAAAUGUCACAAAUACGUCACGCGCAACACCACAUAUGAUAUUGUCUAAACGAGAUUAUCGAAGUCUCCAAUUGUAUAGAAAAGACACUGCGGCAAUUCUUGAUACUAGUGAUAAUGUCAACAUGAUGUGUAGGAUAGGGAUAUUCGGUUGGUAAGCGACAUGUCAAUAGAGUACGCGUUGGUUAGCGAGGGCGAAGAAGACGAGCCCAUAGAGUUGCCAACAGAAGAAGACGGCUCUUUACUUUUGAGCACGGUCACAGCUCAAUUCGCGGGCGCGAGUGGCCUUAAAUACCGCGUUGGUGGUCGGCUCCGGGGCUUGCGUCUCGUCGAGGAGAGAGUGUCGCCUCCGCCUGGGGGCUGGGCGGCGCAUCGCUAUUUCUGCGCAUUCCCACGAGCAGUCGCCCAACCAUCGCGUCCUCGCUGCUCUGAUCUAAUAGUGCUGGGCUUGCCGUGGAAGACCGGUGAGGAUGCAGUUCGUGAAUAUUUUUCUUCAUUUGGUGAGUUACUCAUGGUACAGGUGAAACGAGACGCUAAAACAGGUCUAUCCAAAGGUUUUGGAUUUAUAAAAUUUGCUGACUAUGAAGCACAAGUGCGCGCUCUGGGUCGGCGGCAUAUGAUUGAUGGUCGCUGGUGUGAUGUACGUAUACCCAACAGCAAAGAUGGCGGUGCUGCCGCACAUCGCAAGGUAUUUGUCGGCAGAUGUACCGAGAGCCUUACAGCGGAAGAUUUACGCGAGUAUUUUGGUGCCUUUGGUCAAGUGACAGAUGUGUUUGUGCCCCGUCCCUUUCGCGCUUUUAGCUUUGUUACAUUUUUGGACCCAGAAGUAGCCCAGUCUCUAUGCGGGCAAGACCAUAUUAUCAAAGGCGUGUCAGUGAAUAUUUCAACUGCUUCUCCAAAGAGAGACAGAGGCUCUCGUUCUCAGUUACUCGGCUGGGGUGUGAUGGAGGGCAAUGCGGCUCGUGUCUACAGCUGGCCGGCGGAAGCGUGGCCGGCACACCCACAGCACGCGCCCCAGGCGCCGCCCGCGCCCGCCGCGCCUCUUUCGCCAGCCCGGGAUACCAAGCCUUACCUCAAGUACCACUGAGACCCAACUAUUCCCAUUGUUAAAUACUUACAGAUUUUAUAUCAAAGCAAAUAUGUAAAUAAUAUAAUAAUAUACAAUAGUAGGAAACAAAGUUACCUGUUUGCCUUUUAGUUCAUAAGUUCAAAAUCUUAUUUCAUGUCAAAAGUUUAUUUCUAACUGUAUUUUUCUGAGAACAAAAUCUCUUUUUAUAUAUGUUUAAUACAGAGAUUUCCAUCUCGGAAAUCAAGGGUAAAACAAUAUAUUUUAAUUUAAGUAAUUAUGUGUUUAAAAUCUUGGUUAAACCGAGACAAUGUAGCACCUAGCAGAAGUGUGUGUGUGUGUGUGUGUAUAACUAACACUAAUGCAACUCUAAAUUUGGAAUAAUGUGAACACUGGAAGUGUUUCUACCGACAGGAGGUUUGGAUGUGUCAUCAUGUAUGGAGCCAACAUAGAAAACACUCAUCUGACUCUGUAACAAAUAAAGUUCUGGCAAGAAUAUUAAAUAAGAAUUUGUGUGUGCCUUCAUUAUUAUAGUAAAUGAAUUUACAUAUGUAAAUAAGUGCAACACAAGAAUGUCUUAGUGCACUGAUGGUGUGGUGCUAGUGGACCGUCUGCCCCCGACUGGCCCCGCACAUGUUUCAUAAUAUCCCUUACCUUACUCCCUUUGCUUUCACUUCUGAAACACAGCAAAUCUCUUCAGAUGCAACAUAAUUAUAAAUUUAUAUAAAUUCUUAUAAGAAUUGUGUUCAUUUCAACAAAUAAUGUUUGUGUAUUGCUGUCAUUUAUAUAUAUUUAAAUAUGAUCAGAUGAAGGUAUAAAAGGAAACAUGUCGUU